rnacentral:rRNA from 1 species
GCAUAUCAAUAAGCGGAGGAAAAGAAACCAACAGGGAUUGCCCCAGUAACGGCGAAGUGAAGCGGCAACAGCUCAAAUUUGAAAUCUGGCCUUCGGGUCCGAGUUGUAAUUUGGAGAGGAUGCUUUUGGCGCGGCGCCGUCCGAGUUCCUUGGAACAGGACGCCAUAGAGGGUGAGAGCCCCGUACGGGCGGCCGCCUAGCCUUUGUAAAGCUCCUUCGACGAGUCGAGUAGUUUGGGAAUGCUGCUCAAAAUGGGAGGUAAAUUUCUUCUAAAGCUAAAUACCGGCCAGAGACCGAUAGCGCACAAGUAGAGUGAUCGAAAGAUGAAAAGCACUUUGAAAAGAGGGUUAAAAAGUACGUGAAAUUGUUGAAAGGGAAGCGCCUGUGACCAGACUUGCGACCCGUGGAUCAUCCGGUGUUCUUCACCGGUGCACUCCGCGGGCUGCAGGCCAGCAUCGGUUUUCCUAGGGGGAUAAAGGUCGCAGGAACGUAGCUCUUUCGGGAGUGUUAUAGCCUGUGGCGUCAUGCCUCUGGGGAGACCGAGGACCGCGCUUCGGCAAGGAUGCUGGCGUAAUGGUCACCGGCGACCCGUCUUGAAACACGGACCAAGGAGUCAAGCAUUGGGGCGAGUGUCUGGGUGCCAAACCCGCACGCGAAAUGAAAGUAAACGCAGGUGAGAGCUUCGGCGCAUCACCGACCGAUCCUGAUGUCUUCGGAUGGAUUUGAGUAAGAGCCUUACCGCUUGGACCCGAAAGAUGGUGAACUAUGCCUGUAUAGGGUGAAGCCAGAGGAAACUUCUGGUGGAGGCUCGCAGCGGUUUCUGACGUGCAAAUCGAUCGUCAAAUAUGGGCAUGGGGGGCGAAAGACUAAUCGAACCAUCUAGUAGCUGGUUACCGCCGAA